CAGUAGCCGCGGUAAUACGAAGGGGGCUAGCGUUGCUCGGAAUCACUGGGCGUAAAGGGUGCGUAGGCGGGUCUUUAAGUCAGGGGUGAAAUCCUGGAGCUCAACUCCAGAACUGCCUUUGAUACUGAAGAUCUUGAGUUCGGGAGAGGUGAGUGGAACUGCGAGUGUAGAGGUGAAAUUCGUAGAUAUUCGCAAGAACACCAGUGGCGAAGGCGGCUCACUGGCCCGAUACUGACGCUGAGGCACGAAAGCGUGGGGAGCAAACAGGAUUAGAUACCCCGGUAGUCCCUGUCUCUUAUAC
rnacentral:rRNA from 1 species